rnacentral:misc_RNA from 1 species
GAAAUGCGAUAAGUAAUGUGAAUUGCAGAAUUCCGUGAAUCAUCGAAUCUUUGAACGCACAUUGCGCCCUCUGGUAUUCCGGGGGCAUGCCUGUCCGAGCGUCAUUGCGAACCCCUCAAGCACGGCUUGUGUGAUGGGCCCUCCCGCGUCUUGGUCGUCAAGACGGGCCCGAAAUGCAGUGGCGGCUUCGCGGUUAUCCGAUCAGCCAGAGUGUAUGGGGACUCUCUCUCUUGUCACACGCCCGCGGCGCGGACCGACGCCUGUCGACCUUUAUUCAUCUUCUCUCGGUUGACCUCGGAUCAGGUAGGGAUACCCGCUGAACUUAAGC